rnacentral:rRNA from 1 species
GAACGCUGGCGGCAGGCUUAACACAUGUAAGUCGAGCGGGGACUUCGGUCCUAGCGGCGAACGGGUGAGGAAUGCUUGGGAAUCUGCCCAGUAGCGAGGGAUAACGUUUCGAAAGGAGCGCUAAUACCGCAUACGCCCUACAGGGGAAAGGGGGGGAUCUUCGGACCUCUCACUAUUGGAUGAGCCCAAGUCGGGUUAGCUAGUUGGUGGGGUAAAGGCCUACCAAGGCGACGAUCCGUAGCUGGUCUGAGAGGAUGAUCAGCCACACUGGAACUGGGACACGGUCCAGACUCCUACGGGAGGCAGCAGUGGGGAAUAUUGGACAAUGGGCGAAAGCCCGAUCCAGCCAUGCCGCGUGUGUGAAGAAGGCCUUCGGGUUGUAAAGCACUUUAAGCGAGGGGGAAUGGCUCUGGGUUAAUACCCUUGAGCAGUGACGUUACUCGCAAAAUAAGCACCGGCUAACUCUGUGCCAGCAGCCGCGGUAAUACAGAGGGUGCAAGCGUUAAUCGGAACUACUGGGCGUAAAGCGCGCGUAGGCGGUUGCGUAAGUUGGAUGUGAAAUCCCCGGGCUCAACCCGGGAAUUGCAUUCAAAACUGCGCGGCUAGAGUGUGGGAGAGGAAGGUAGAAAUCCAGGUGUAGCGGUGAAAUGCGUAGAUAUCUGGAGGAAUACCGAUGGCGAAGGCAGCCCUCUGGCCUAACACUGACGCUGAGGUGCGAAAGCAUGGGGAGCAAACAGGAUUAGAUACCUUGGUAGUCCAUGCCGUAAACGAUGUCUACUA